rnacentral:rRNA from 1 species
GAGCGGCAGCGGGUCCUUCGGGAUGCCGGCGAGCGGCGGACGGGUGAGUAAUGCCUAGGAAUCUGCCUGGUAGUGGGGGAUAACGUUCGGAAACGGAUGCUAAUACCGCAUACGUCCUACGGGAGAAAGCAGGGGACCUUCGGGCCUUGCGCUAUCAGAUGAGCCUAGGUCGGAUUAGCUAGUUGGUGGGGUAAUGGCUCACCAAGGCGACGAUCCGUAACUGGUCUGAGAGGAUGAUCAGUCACACUGGAACUGAGACACGGUCCAGACUCCUACGGGAGGCAGCAGUGGGGAAUAUUGGACAAUGGGCGAAAGCCUGAUCCAGCCAUGCCGCGUGUGUGAAGAAGGUCUUCGGAUUGUAAAGCACUUUAAGUUGGGAGGAAGGGCAGUCAGCUAAUACCUUGCUGUUUUGACGUUACCAACAGAAUAAGCACCGGCUAACUUCGUGCCAGCAGCCGCGGUAAUACGAAGGGUGCAAGCGUUAAUCGGAAUUACUGGGCGUAAAGCGCGCGUAGGUGGUUCAGCAAGUUGGAUGUGAAAGCCCCGGGCUCAACCUGGGAACUGCAUCCAAAACUACUGAGCUAGAGUACGGUAGAGGGUGGUGGAAUUUCCUGUGUAGCGGUGAAAUGCGUAGAUAUAGGAAGGAACACCAGUGGCGAAGGCGACCACCUGGACUGAUACUGACACUGAGGUGCGAAAGCGUGGGGAGCAAACAGGAUUAGAUACCCUGGUAGUCCACGCCGUAAACGAUGUCGACUAGCCGUUGGGAUCCUUGAGAUCUUAGUGGCGAAGCUAACGCGAUAAGUCGACCGCCU